GAGGCCAAACUAUUGGGCGUUGUCCUUUCGGACGACCUCAAAUGGAACUGCCAUAUUGACUACAUUUGAGGUCGUCCGAAAGGACAACGCCCAAUAGUUUGUACGGUCUGCGCCUUCUUAA